AACGAACGCUGGCGGCAGGCUUAACACAUGCAAGUCGAGGGGUAGAGGUUGCUUGCAACCUUGAGACCGGCGCACGGGUGCGUAACGCGUAUGCAAUCUGCCUUGUACUGAGGGAUAGCCCAGAGAAAUUUGGAUUAAUACCUCAUAGUAUCUUUUCCCGGCAUCGGGAGAUUAUUAAAGUUCCAACGGUACAAGAUGAGCAUGCGUCCCAUUAGCUAGUUGGUAUGGUAACGGCAUACCAAGGCAAUGAUGGGUAGGGGUCCUGAGAGGGCGAUCCCCCACACUGGUACUGAGACACGGACCAGACUCCUACGGGAGGCAGCAGUGAGGAAUAUUGGUCAAUGGGCGCAAGCCUGAACCAGCCAUGCCGCGUGCAGGAUGAAGCAUCUAUGGUGUGUAAACUGCUUUUAUACGAGAAGAAACACCGGUUCGUGAACCGGCUUGACGGUACCGUAAGAAUAAGGAUCGGCUAACUCCGUGCCAGCCGCCGCGGUAA
rnacentral:rRNA from 1 species